GUGGAGUACGGCGUGCAUAUACAUGCAAGUCGUACGACGUCAUGCGCUAUUGAUUGGUGCUUGCAUCAUGAUUUACAUUUGAGUGAGUGGCGAACUGGUGAGUAACACGUGGGAAACCUGCCCAGAAGCGGGGGAUAACACCUGGAAACAGAUGCUAAUACCGCAUAACAACUUGGACCGCAUGGUCCGAGUUUGAAAGAUGGCUUCGGCUAUCACUUUUGGAUGGUCCCGCGGCGUAUUAGCUAGAUGGUGGGGUAACGGCUCACCAUGGCAAUGAUACGUAGCCGACCUGAGAGGGUAAUCGGCCACAUUGGGACUGAGACACGGCCCAAACUCCUACGGGAGGCAGCAGUAGGGAAUCUUCCACAAUGGACGAAAGUCUGAUGGAGCAACGCCGCGUGAGUGAAGAAGGGUUUCGGCUCGUAAAACUCUGUUGUUAAAGAAGAACAUAUCUGAGAGUAACUGUUCAGGUAUUGACGGUAUUUAACCAGAAAGCCACGGCUAACUACGUGCCAGCAGCCGCGGUAAUACGUAGGUGGCAAGCGUUGUCCGGAUUUAUUGGGCGUAAAGCGAGCGCAGGCGGUUUUUUAAGUCUGAUGUGAAAGCCUUCGGCUCAACCGAAGAAGUGCAUCGGAAACUGGGAAACUUGAGUGCAGAAGAGGACAGUGGAACUCCAUGUGUAGCGGUGAAAUGCGUAGAUAUAUGGAAGAACACCAGUGGCGAAGGCGGCUGUCUGGUCUGUAACUGACGCUGAGGCUCGAAAGUAUGGGUAGCAAACAGGAUUAGAUACCCUGGUAGUCCAUACCGUAGACGAUGAAUGCUAAGUGUUGGAGGGUUUCCGCCCUUCAGUGCUGCAGCUAACGCAUUAAGCAUUCCGCCUGGGGAGUACGGCCGCAAGGCUGAAACUCAAAGGAAUUGACGGGGGCCCGCACAAGCGGUGGAGCAUGUGGUUUAAUUCGAAGCUACGCGAAGAACCUUACCAGGUCUUGACAUACUAUGCAAAUCUAAGAGAUUAGACGUUCCCUUCGGGGACAUGGAUACAGGUGGUGCAUGGUUGUCGUCAGCUCGUGUCCUGAGAUGUUGGGUUAAGUCCCGCAACGAGCGCAACCCUUAUUAUCAGUUGCCAGCAUUAAGUUGGGCCCCUGGUGAAACUGCCGUGA
rnacentral:rRNA from 1 species